GAUUACUCAAAGUGGCAGCGGCAUCCACAGGGUUGGCUGCAAUAAAAUGACUACUUAAAAAAAAAAGUCCAGCAGAAAAAUUCUGUAGGUAGCUCAUAGAAAGAAAACUGAUUAUGAAAAAUAGCCCUGGUUUUGCUGUGUUUUGAAGCAAAGACUUUCUGCAUGUCAAAAAAAAAAUGUUAUAAUUACUGUGCCGUCAGAAACAGCUUUUAUAAUGCAGACAUUCUGGAGCAAAAGCUGAGAAAAUUAAGUGACGGGGCAUGCCUGCCUCUGCACGGGUGUCAUUCAAAAUUCAGGGCUUUGCCUGGAAGAAAGCAAAGUGCAGCAAACAGACAAGACAGCAAGGUUAAGACCAGCACAAAGGAGAAAAAGCUUUCAACUCAAGAGCAGGAAAACAUGGCUGGAGGUCACCUUUCAGGUGGGAUGAAGUGCAUCUACUGGAUGUAGUAUUCCAAGUGUGGCUUUACCAAGGUGAUAUACCAAGAAGAAGUUGCACAUUUCCAAGCAGUCCUACUUAACAGCUUUCCUCUGAGACAUAGCAAAACAGUAGGCAACCUGUUUCCUUUUCAUCUAUGACAUCUGGAGCUGCUGUGAGAAUUUUUUUUCCACAAUUGAAUAUUCUGUAAUGUUUUUUCCCUUAAGUUGACAACAGCCAAGGAGAACUGUGAGGGCAGUGUUUGGACUCCAGAAUGGGACCAGAGGAAUAGAAGUGAGAAUGUACUAACCAGCUUGCGGAGAGUUCUGAUUAAUUUAAUAAACAUAAUCCAUUCAUUAGGUGACUGGACCUAUAAGGGAUGAGUGGAAUGCAAAGAACAAAACAGUAAACAUUUAAAACUAUGCUGAACCUUUAGCUUCCUCAGCUAAAGGAAAGAGAAAAUACCAUUAUCGGUAGUUAAAUAAAGAUGUAUUGAUGACUGGAAGCAUGUUAAUAAGAAAUGUACAGACAUUUUUGGUUUACCUUGUUAAGCAGGAUGAAGAAGUAGCAUGUUUUUAAUCUUUAUAUGGAUGAGAAGGGGAUAGAGUGGACAGUUACGUGUUCAAAACAGAUUGGUGGAAAGUUACAUAAACACUGUCUCGUUCUGGAUCUCCCUUCUGUGGAAAGGACAUCAUUUUCAUAAUUUCAUAAGAAAUUAAAGCUUGCUGUAGCCUGCUUGGUCUAUUUUAUUGGCUGUCUAGGUCAGCUAGACUUACUGAAAGAUCUGGGCUGUCCAGGAUAGGAAAGCAAGAGACCUGCUCAUUUGGGCAGUCCAGAUUUGUCCUUAAGAGCCAUGAUUAAUACUGAA